rnacentral:rRNA from 1 species
UACGUAGGGGGCUAGCGUUGUCCGGAAUCAUUGGGCGUAAAGCGCGUGUAGGCGGUCCGGUAAGUCCGCUGUGAAAGUCGGGGGCUCAACCCUCGAAUGCCGGUGGAUACUGUCGGGCUAGAGUACGGAAGAGGCGAGUGGAAUUCCUGGUGUAGCGGUGAAAUGCGCAGAUAUCAGGAGGAACACCAAUUGCGAAGGCAGCUCGCUGGGACGUUAACUGACGCUGAGACGCGAAAGCGUGGGGGAGCAAACAGG